rnacentral:lncRNA from 1 species
CUAGGCUCACUUGCUUAAGUCUACUUCUUCACAAUUUUGUAAUUUUUCACUCCUUUGUUAGCAGUCGGAUGCUUUCAAGCAGCUGUUUUUGUUUUUCCAAGCUUCUUUCUCUCUCUUUCCUUCCUUCCUUCCUUCCUCCUUCCUUACCUUUUCCUUUCCUUUUCCCCACCCCCGUCUCUCUCUCUCUCUCCCCAAGCAGCUGUUUUUGUUUUUCCAAGCUUCUUUCUCUCUUUCUCUUUCUUUAUUUCUCUGUCUCCCUCCGUCUUGUCUUUUCCUUUUCUUUUCUGUUGAGAUGGAGACUCACUCUGUCUGCACAUACCACCACACCCAGCUAAUUUUUUAUAUUUUUAGUGGAGACAGGGUUUCGCCAUGUUGGCCGGGUUAGUCUCGAACUCCUGACCUUAGGUGAUCCACCCACCUCGGCCUCCCAAAGUGCUGGGAUUGUAGGCAUGAGCCACUGCGCCCAGCCUGUUUUGCCAAGCUUUUCUGGUUGUUUUCCUUCAGUGAGAGAGUUGAUGGAUAUUACCUAGUCUGCCAUUACUGGACAUCAUUCUUUUUUACUCCAGCUUCUGAUCCUUAUAUAUAUUUUAUCUUAUAGGAAUGUGUACUAUUUAGUUUGCUUCCUUGUAAGAAGCUUUCAAAUGUCUCAUUUGCUGGUGCCUGUUCAAUUAAGCUUUGGAUAACAGUACAAAAUUUGGCCAACAUGAAUGCCUAGUUCACCGCUAAUGAAAGCUGGGCACUGCAAAUGUUCUGCUAUGCUCCAGAAAUCAGAAGUUGCCAGCUUUUAUAUCUAGACUGUGAUUUCCUCAUAGAGGAUUUUGUACAUGCCAAUUCAAAGUUUAAAUUUGUGCCAUGUGUGAAUAAGUGCACAAAAUGCUCAAAUAAGAAUGAGAAAAAUAUCUCCUUUUCCCAUCCACAUUGAGAUACCUGAAACAACUAUGAAAUACAGUUUUUCUUCCAGUUUUCCGAAAUACUUAUCUGGGUUGAGACCAAGAAUGGAGCAUUUUAGGCCAAAAUGCUUUUUUAAAAUUUUAUGAUUUAUGAGUUUAGAAAAAAUCUCUUUUGGACUUUAAGCAUAUGUUAUUUUUAGGAUAUCUUAUUCAUGAAUAAAACAAAUUUUUUACAUAGGUGAAAUAAUUUAGGUGUUUGUAUAUUAUGAGUCAGUUAUUUCUAUAAUAUAUGACUAGUUUAUAUUUGUAGUUUUUCAGUUACAUUCAGUAGCCCACAUUUGUUUAGUAACAGAAUUAACAAAAAUUGCUGUUAUUAUUUUGAGUUAAUUUUCAACUCGUAUUUUUAAUUUGCUAAAUACAUUCUAGCACUAUUAUAUUGUCAGAGACCUUAAUUCAAGUCUUUAAAUAUUUAAUAAAAUUAUGUGAAAAAUUGAAAUUAUUUGAUGUUUUAAUUUUGAUUGCUCUGGACAAAGACAGUAUUUCCAUCUUGAUGCUUCAGGAUAAAAAUUGCGUUAAACAAUACUUGAAUUUAAAUGUGGUUUAAAAUAUUUCUUAAUUCUAAAGCUCUCUGUAGUUCCUAUUUUCUAAGCAAUAUUAGCUAUAUUGGAUCUUCUAGAUGAAGAAAGAUUUGACUAUGAUUAAAUAUGUGCAGUGCCAUCCUGGAAUAGAUUUUAUUCAUAGAUUAAUAAAAUAUGUGCAGCAUGAUUUAGGAGAAAAUAUUUUAGGACAUUAAAUUUAGUUACAUAAGCUACAGUCUUUUAAAUUCUGUGCAACUAAAAUCUGUUUUGCUUUAAAAAGAAAAAAUGUUCAAAUUUCACUGGGAAAUGUAGAGUAUUUGUUUUCCAAGACGAUCAAAAUCAUACCCAAUCAUACUUUUAGGAAAUUUUCAAAAUACUAGAUAUAGCCUUUCAACUUAAUGACGAUUGUUAUUGUCUAAUUUUCUUACCUGCACUUACCAGUAUUCAGAACACUCUGAUUUGGUUACAUGUUUCUUAUAGUACCUCCUUGGUUCAAAUGUAAUUCUUUUCUGAUAUUGAAUAAACUGUAAUGUCAAGGA